ACAUGCUUACAACAUACUGUUAAUGCAUUGGAUCCCAUAAAACUCUGCAAUUAAGCACGCUCGGACUAGAGUAGUACUCGGAUGGGUUACCGCCAUGGAAGUCCUAUUCGUUUACAUGCC
rnacentral:rRNA from 1 species